rnacentral:rRNA from 1 species
UUGGUGCUCCAUGCUUAGUUGGACCCACUCCAAUCCCAUCCCGAACUUGGAAGUGAAAAAGCUAAGGGAACUUCAAAACUUUAAGCGAUUGCUUCUGGGAAUGAAGUUCUAGUGCCAG